rnacentral:tRNA from 1 species
GCCUCUGUAGCUCAGUUGGUUAGAGCGCUGCUCCGGAAUAUCAGGGCCGUAGGUUCGAUUCCUACCAGAGGAC